UACGUAGGCAGCGAGCGUUGUUCGGAGUUACUGGGCGUAAAGCGUGCGUAGGCGGUGUUCCAAGUCUGUUGUGAAAUCUCCCGGCUUAACCGGGAGGGUGCGGCGGAAACUGGGAUGCUGGAGUGCGGGAGAGGUAAGCGGAAUUCCUGGUGUAGCGGUGAAAUGCGCAGAUAUCAGGAGGGACACCGGUGGCGAAGGCGGGUCUCUGGGCCGAUAUUGACGCUGAGGAGCGAAAGCGUGGGGAGCGAACAGG
rnacentral:rRNA from 1 species